UAACAGACAGCAAACCCACUGUAAAGAUACAAAAAUGCAAAUUUGAAUGUGGAUCUAUUAAAAGCUGCUGUUUCCUGGGGAAGGCUGGAGCGGGAUUCAACUAAAGCUCAUCUUGACUUAAGUACAUGUUAUGGUUGUUUUGUUUCUCCACGAGAGAAGCAAGCAGAGACACUGGCUCAGAGAGUCCAAUGCCUGGAUGAGGAUGGAGAAUGUCCUACACCCCAUCACGGAAUCCACCUUACAGGAGGGAGGGAAAACUGCAUAACAAGAGAACCCAUUUUCCAGGAGGAGGGGAAGGUGAAAGACUCCUCUUAUCUCUUGCCCAGGGGUUCAUAGUGUAAGGCUGACAGGCCAGUGCAUGCCAGAGUCUCAGGAUAAUUCACUUGUAUGUGAAUAUCAAAGAAGUGUUAGUAUGUGUUCAAACUAAUUCAGAUGUAUGCUAAUAGAGAUUAAAGGAGAUGUUGAUUGUGUUUUCGUCUGUCUUUAUCCUGUAGUUUGCUAUUACAUUACUUCUACAUUAUGUAUACCCUGUAAUUAAAUAACCCUAGAUCCAAGGUGUGUUAAUGUAAUAUUGUAGUCAGGUGUUAAAACUUCAUGAAAACUAAUGGAAUGUUCCUUGUGUUGUAUUCGCUUAUCUAUUUCUAUUGUAACCCUUCUGCCCGUCAGAGUUGGCAGCAACAAGGGCCGGGUUCAGUAUCUAGGGGAUCCAUUCCAAUAACACAAUGCAAAUCCGGCUCGAGCCCCCACCCAGUCACCUGGGACAAAUAUAUACCACCCCCGCUGGGCGCCUCCAAGAGGCAAUACUUCCCCUCUCGCAAGCACCUAGUUGGGGUGUAGUAAAAAGCCUUUUAAUAACAGAGAGAAACAAUGUGGCAUUAUGUUGGGGAAACACCACCGACAGGAUUCAUAACACAACCCAUGAGCAAAACCCACCUCAAGCAAAUUGGGGCAUGUCCUUUCCCUUUGGUUCUUGAGUCUAGCAACCCAAAAUCACCCAAAGUUCCAAAAGUCCAACGACCCAAACAUCUCUGUCCUUGGUCAGGGCAGCCCCAGAGUUCAAAAGUUUAUCUGCAGAGUUUUACCUCCCAACCUGGAUUGAGAUGGGGGGGGGGGUUUAAGGGGCACCUUACGUAGUCCAAAGCUGAUGGCCCCACCUCUCCAUGGGGCGUCGCUCCGCUCGCCAUCCCGCAAACUGCUCUGCUCCGCCAGCCGCUCCGCUCGCCGUCCCGCAAACUGCAGUGCUCUGCCAGCCGCUCUGCUCACUGUCCCGCAAACUGCUCUACCAUAUAGCUUAAGGUCCCCCACUACUUAACACAACACUCAGUGAUUUCAGCUCUUAGUAAGUUUAGCUUUUUUGUGAUUUCAGCUUGUAGUAAGGGAGCCUCGGUGCUGGUGCACCAUUAGCCCAAAGUGACUUCAGCUCAGCAACCUAUGACUAGACUCCUAAUGGAAUCACAAUUCGCUCUAAUAUUCCACAGUGGAGAAAGGAAGAAGUCCAAUUAGCAUGUAAAGCCCUCACCAGGGGACCAAUGCCAGCAAGCAUUAAUACCUGUCCCUAGAUUCUCUCAAUUCAUAGAGUUUUGGAACUCAUGUCCCUUACCUAGCGAGUGCUACUUAGUUGAUGGCGAGUCCCUCCAUCAUAACAAAAGGCCAAGUACAGUUCCACUGUCCUUGAUUCCCAUAAUCAGGGUAAUAACAAUUUAUUCUUCCUACCCCAAUAACAGAGACACUGGGGAUCCCACAGCAGCCAAAGUGACCAUUUGGGCAGCUAUGGCCUCAUUCUAGGCGGGAUGGGUGUGCCUAUGCAAAUGAGAUCAGCCCCUGAAGUUCUUUUCCACAACUUGCCACACCUCACCGCCAGAUGUCAGGGUGGAGCUCAUCCUGACUCUGCUUACACUAUUAUAAUGUGAAGGCAGGCAUUUACAUUAUGUAUAUCCUUGUAACUAAAUAGCUUAUUAAAUGCAGAGGAAAUGGGGGAAAUGCAAACGAAGAAGAGUGCUAAAGGGUCAUUGUUUUUAAAAAUGGGAAAUCUCAGACUCAGUCUGCAUUUCCUACUAAUCAAAACCCACGCGGGUGAAGACACUGUUCAGAUUAUUUUCUGGAAAAGCUAUAAAUGGAUUUAAAGGAAUGAUCCUGUACCUCUGAAUUGUCUGGACACUUACAGGGAAGCAUUCCAGAUGCAAGGUAGAGAUCCCCAGAGUUUUUCUGGGUGACCCUGAGAGCCUUUUGGAAAUCUAGCAGAUUACUACAUCUCUGCUAUAAUUUGGAUUUAAAACUUUGACUCACCUGUAAAUGUAUUUUACCUGCUUUCACCUCCCAAUACUCUCA